rnacentral:lncRNA from 1 species
CUGCAUUACACAAACAUAAGUUUAUAACAACAUAAAUUAUACAUGGGUUUAUAACAACCUAAUUAAAAGCAAAUCUAGUUACAUAACAAGAAACUGCAUAUCACCUUUUAUUGUUUCAGAUCGUAUCACCUUGAGAGCACUUACAAACCAGUUACACAACAUGAACCAAUAUCCUAAUAUGAAUCAGUCUCCUAACAUGAAUCAAUUACACAACAUCAUCUUUCCAUAAUGAACCAACAACACUAAAUAUCCAUAAACUACAAUAUGAACUACUUUCAACAACUUGAAGUAGUCACUAAAUGUCCCUGUAUCUUGAACCAGCAACAUGUGUUAUAUGCUUUUAACAACCUGAAGUAGACCAUAUAAUAUGCAACACAACAUGUUCCAUAGCCAAUGUACCAA